rnacentral:rRNA from 1 species
UACGUAGGGUGCGAGCGUUAAUCGGAAUUACUGGGCGUAAAGUGUGCGCAGGCGGCUUCGCAAGUCGAGUGUGAAAUCCCCGGGCUUAACCUGGGAACUGCAUUGGUGACUGCAUUGCUGGAGUAUGGCAGAGGGGGGUGGAAUUCCACGUGUAGCAGUGGAAUGCGUAGAGAUGUGGAGGAACACCGAUGGCGAAGGCAGCCCCCUGGGCCAAUACUGACGCUGAGGAGCGAAAGCAUGGGGAGCGAACAGG